rnacentral:rRNA from 1 species
UACGUAGGUGGCAAGCGUUGUCCGGAUUUACUGGGCGUAAAGGGCGUGCAGGCGGUCUGUUAAGUCUAGGGUGAAAGCUCCCGGCUCAACUGGGAGAGGUCCUUGGAUACUGGCGGACUUGAGGGAGGCAGAGGAAAGUGGAAUUCCCGGUGUAGUGGUGAUAUGCGUAGAUAUCGGGAGGAACACCAGUGGCGAAGGCGGCUUUCUGGGCCUUACCUGACGCUGAGGCGCGAAAGCAUGGGGAGCGAACGGG